AGUUGGAAGUAUCAUAACUUUUUCACCAGGCUGUAAUUACACAGUGAAAUAUAUUUUUAUAAAGUCACCGCAAAAUAUAUCCUAGGUAUUAAUUAACUACUUAACAAGUAUUAUUCUAUAGUAAAAAAAAAAGAAGAACUUACUCUACGUUGCGUCCAGUGGACGUUGGAUAAUGCAUCGAUAAACGUAAACGAUGAUCGGG